rnacentral:rRNA from 1 species
CCUACGGGAGGCAGCAGUGAGGAAUAUUGGUCAAUGGACGAGAGUCUGAACCAGCCAAGUAGCGUGAAGGAUGACUGCCCUAUGGGUUGUAAACUUCUUUUAUAUGGGAAUAAAAUGUUCCACGUGUGGGAUUUUGUAUGUACCAUAUGAAUAAGGAUCGGCUAACUCCGUGCCAGCAGCCGCGGUAAUACGGAGGAUCCGAGCGUUAUCCGGAUUUAUUGGGUGUAAAGGGAGCGUAGGUGGAUUGUUAAGUCAGUUGUGAAAGUUUGCGGCUCAACCGUAAAAUUGCAGUUGAAACUGGCAGUCUUGAGUACAGUAGAGGUGGGCGGAAUUCGUGGUGUAGCGGUGAAAUGCUUAGAUAUCACGAAGAACUCCGAUUGCGAAGGCAGUUCACUGGACUGCAGCUGACACUGAGGCUCGAAAGUGUGGGUAUCAAACAGGAUUAGAUACCCCUGUAGUC